rnacentral:rRNA from 1 species
CCUACGGGAGGCAGCAGUGGGGAAUAUUGGACAAUGGGCGAAAGCCUGAUCCAGCCAUGCCGCGUGUGUGAAGAAGGUCUUCGGAUUGUAAAGCACUUUAAGUUGGGAGGAAGGGUUGUAGAUUAAUACUCUGCAAUUUUGACGUUACCGACAGAAUAAGCACCGGCUAACUUCGUGCCAGCAGCCGCGGUAAUAC